rnacentral:tRNA from 1 species
UGAGGCGUGGUGCAGCUUGGUAGCACGCUUGGUUCGGGACCAAGAGGUCAUGGGUUCGAAUCCCAUCGCUUCAACCA